AUUGAACGCUGGCGGCAUGCCUUACACAUGCAAGUCGAACGGCAGCGGGGACUUCGGUCCGCCGGCGAGUGGCGAACGGGUGAGUAAUGUAUCGGAACGUACCAUUCAGUGGGGGAUAACUAUCCGAAAGGAUAGCUAAUACCGCAUAUUCUGUGAGCAGGAAAGCAGGGGAUCGCAAGACCUUGCGCUGAUUGAGCGGCCGAUAUCAGAUUAGCUAGUUGGUGAGGUAAAGGCUCACCAAGGUGACGAUCUGUAGCGGGUCUGAGAGGAUGAUCCGCCACACUGGAACUGAGACACGGUCCAGACUCCUACGGGAGGCAGCAGUGGGGAAUUUUGGACAAUGGGGGCAACCCUGAUCCAGCCAUGCCGCGUGAGUGAAGAAGGCCUUCGGGUUGUAAAGCUCUUUCGGCCGGGAAAAAAUCGCAUGGGUUAAUACCCUGUGUGGAUGAUGGUACCGGAAUAAGAAGCACCGGCUAACUACGUGCCAGCAGCCGCCGUAA
rnacentral:rRNA from 1 species